rnacentral:rRNA from 1 species
UGGGUAACCUGCCUGUAAGACUGGGAUAACUCCGGGAAACCGGGGCUAAUACCGGAUGGUUGUUUGAACCGCAUGGUUCAGACAUAAAAGGUGGCUUCGGCUACCACUUACAGAUGGACCCGCGGCGCAUUAGCUAGUUGGUGAGGUAACGGCUCACCAAGGCGACGAUGCGUAGCCGACCUGAGAGGGUGAUCGGCCACACUGGGACUGAGACACGGCCCAGACUCCUACGGGAGGCAGCAGUAGGGAAUCUUCCGCAAUGGACGAAAGUCUGACGGAGCAACGCCGCGUGAGUGAUGAAGGUUUUCGGAUCGUAAAGCUCUGUUGUUAGGGAAGAACAAGUGCCGUUCAAAUAGGGCGGCACCUUGACGGUACCUAACCAGAAAGCCACGGCUAACUACGUGCCAGCAGCCGCGGUAAUACGUAGGUGGCAAGCGUUGUCCGGAAUUAUUGGGCGUAAAGGGCUCGCAGGCGGUUUCUUAAGUCUGAUGUGAAAGCCCCCGGCUCAACCGGGGAGGGUCAUUGGAAACUGGGGAACUUGAGUGCAGAAGAGGAGAGUGGAAUUCCACGUGUAGCGGUGAAAUGCGUAGAGAUGUGGAGGAACACCAGUGGCGAAGGCGACUCUCUGGUCUGUAACUGACGCUGAGGAGCGAAAGCGUGGGGAGCGAACA